rnacentral:lncRNA from 1 species
GCCUAUGAUCUACAGUGCCCAUUCCAACUCAGAGAAUCUUUACAUCUGGAGAUCUAUAGCAGGGCUAUCCCUAGUGACAUGCGUGAAGAAGCUUGGAAAUGGUGCUGGGUAGGAGCUGAGUGUGCAGAAUGUGGAAAGGCAUUCUAAACCAAAGGAAGAACACGAGUAAAGAUGAUGAAGCAGGGAUAAGGCUAAAAUGAAAUUUGUGAUCUGAUCCACAUACAAGCACAGUGUAGUACAGCUGGAAUAUAGAGAAGAGCUUGAAGACUUAUGAGCAACUAUCCCGGUACUCUUGGAGGCUCUGCAACCACAGUUUGAGAAACUCCGCGUUCAAAGUUAAAAACUGUCACCUGAAUAGUUAAUAACAUCAAAGAUUGUGAAAGCAAGUAUAAAUAACACAGAGAUUAAAAUAAUGAGGCAGGAUCAGAAAUUGCUGACCUCCAUAACAGCAGACAAAAUUGGAAGCAAGAGUGAUUUUGGAGGAGUCACACUUAGAUGUUUCCCUUACCUAUUUCUGUUCUGGAAAUUUAAAAAUCUUACUUCUCAUGACAGUCCUACAUGAAAAAUUAAAAAUCACAAGGAUUCACGGAUGGAAAACUGAGACUCAGAGAAUGAUCACAUUCACAUCGUAAUAAAUCAGCAAUAGAG